GAAGAAAUAGCAGGGUGUAAUGUAUUAGGUUUAGAUUCUAAGAAUAAGAAGUUGAUUUUCUUCC
rnacentral:tRNA from 1 species